rnacentral:rRNA from 1 species
AACGAACGCUGGCGGCAGGCUUAACACAUGCAAGUCGAACGCCCCGCAAGGGGAGUGGCAGACGGGUGAGUAACGCGUGGGAAUCUACCUAGUUCUACGGAACAACAGAGGGAAACUUCUGCUAAUACCGUAUACGCCCUAUGGGGGAAAGAUUUAUCGGAAUUAGAUGAGCCCGCGUAAGAAUAGCUAGUUGGUGAGGUAAUGGCUCACCAAGGCGACGAUCUUUAGCUGGUCUGAGAGGAUGAUCAGCCACACUGGGACUGAGACACGGCCCAGACUCCUACGGGAGGCAGCAGUGGGGAAUAUUGGACAAUGGGCGCAAGCCUGAUCCAGCCAUGCCGCGUGAGUGAUGAAGGCCUUAGGGUUGUAAAGCUCUUUCAGUGGGGAAGAUAAUGACGGUACCCACAGAAGAAGCCCCGGCUAACUUCGUGCCAUCCGCCGCCGUAACAC